rnacentral:misc_RNA from 1 species
AAGUCGUAACAAGGUUUCCGUAGGUGAACCUGCGGAAGGAUCAUUAUUAAAACAAAACAUAUUUAUAAUUUAUUUAUUAUUUAUAUGUUGGUAUUAAUAAAUACACACAUUUAGAAAUGUAAUUUUUCUUUUUGAAAUUUAAUUUUUAGCAUUUCUAAAUUAUUUAAAAAAUUAAAUAUCAUUAUCGACUGAUUUUAAAAUGAAAUUUUAAAUAAAGUUGAAAAAAAUAUAUAUAAAACGUUUUUGGUCUUACAAAAGAAAAGUCUUAAAAUAACUUUUAACGAUGGAUCUCUUGGCUCCUA